AGUGAACGCUGGCGGCAGGCCUAACACAUGCAAGUCGAACGGCAGCGCAGCAGUAGCAAUACUGUGGGCGGCGAGUGGCGGACGGGUGAGGAAUACAUCGGAAUCUACCUUGUCGUGGGGGAUAACGUAGGGAAACUUACGCUAAUACCGCAUACGACCUACGGGUGAAAGCGGCGGACCGCAAGGCGUCGCGCGAUUGGAUGAGCCGAUGUCCGAUUAGAUAGUUGGCGGGGUAAAGGCCCACCAAGGCGACGAUCGGUAGCUGGUCUGAGAGGAUGAUCAGCCACACUGGAACUGAGACACGGUCCAGACUCCUACGGGAGGCAGCAGUGGGGAAUAUUGGACAAUGGGCGCAAGCCUGAUCCAGCCAUGCCGCGUGUGUGAAGAAGGCCUUCGGGUUGUAAAGCACUUUUGUUGGGGAAGAAAAGACGCCGGUUAAUACCCGGUGUUCAUGACGGUACCCAAAGAAUAAGCACCGGCUAACUUCGUGCCAGCCGCCGCCGUAAUAC
rnacentral:rRNA from 1 species